UAAGCGGAGGAAAAGAAACUAACAAGGAUUCCCUUAGUAGCGGCGAGCGAAGCGGGAAGAGCUCAAAUUUGUAAUCUGGCGUCCUCAGGGCGUCCGAGUUGUAAUUUAUAGAGACGUUUUCCGUGCCGGACCGUGUCCAAGUCCCUUGGAACGGGGUAUCAAAGAGGGUGACAAUCCCCUACUUGACACGACGACCGGUGCUCUGUGAUACGUUUCCUACGAGUCGAGUUGUUUGGGAAUGCAGCUCAAAUUGGGUGGUAAAUUCCAUCUAAAGCUAAAUAUAGGCGAGAGACCGAUAGCGAACAAGUACCGUGAGGGAAAGAUGAAAGGCACUUUGGAAAGAGAGUUAAACAGUAUGUGAAAUUGUUGAAAGGGAAACGAUUGAAGUCAGUCAUGUCCAUUGGAUUCAGCUGGUUCUGCCAGUGUAUUUCCCUUGGACGGGUCAACAUCAGUUUGAGCCGGCGGAUAAUGGCAGAGGGAAUGUAGCACCCCCGGGUGUGUUAUAGCCCUUUGUCGCAUACGUCGGCCCAGACUGAGGAAUGCAGCUCGCCUUGAUUGGCCGGGGUUCGCCCACGUACGAGCUUAGGAUGUUGGCAUAAUGGCUUUAAACGACCCGUCUUGAACCACG
rnacentral:rRNA from 1 species